GACGAACGCUGGCGGCGUGCUUAACACAUGCGAGUCGAGCGGUAAGGCCCCUUCGGGGGUACACGAGCGGCGAACGGGUGCGUAACACGUGAGCAAUCUGCCCAUCACAUCGGGAUAACUCCGGGAAACCGAAGCUAAUACCGAAUACGACCACCUCCGGCAUCGGAUGGUGGUGGAAAGUUCCGGCGGUGAUGGAUGAGCUCGCGGCCUAUCAGCUUGUUGGUGGGGUAACGGCCCACCAAGGCUUCGACGGGUAGCCGGCCUGAGAGGGUGACCGGCCACACUGGGACUGAGACACGGCCCAGACUCCUACGGGAGGCAGCAGUGGGGAAUAUUGGACAAUGGGCGAAAGCCUGAUCCAGCAACGCCGCGUGAGGGAUGACGGCCUUCGGGUUGUAAACCUCUUUCAGCAGGGACGAAGCGCAAGUGACGGUACCUGCAGAAGAAGCACCGGCCAACUACGUG
rnacentral:rRNA from 1 species